CCUACGGGCGUCAGCAGUGAGGAAUAUUGGUCAAUGGACGAGAGUCUGAACCAGCCAAGUAGCGUGAAGGAUGACUGCCCUAUGGGUUGUAAACUUCUUUUAUAUGGGAAUAAAACGUUCCACGUGUGUGAUUUUGUAUGUACCAUAUGAAUAAGGAUCGGCUAACUCCGUGCCAGCAGCCGCGGUAAUACGGAGGAUCCGAGCGUUAUCCGGAUUUAUUGGGUUUAAAGGGAGCGUAGGUGGAUUGUUAAGUCAGUUGUGAAAGUUUGCGGCUCAACCGUAAAAUUGCAGUUGAAACUGGCAGUCUUGAGUACAGUAGAGGUGGGCGGAAUGCGUGGUGUAGCGGUGAAAUGCUUAGAUAUCACGAAGAACUCCGAUUGCGAAGGCAGUUCACUGGACUGCAACUGACACUGAGGCUCGAAAGUGUGGGUAUCAAACAGGAUUAGAUACCCUAGUAGUC
rnacentral:rRNA from 1 species